GGAUCGAGGAGAUUGAAUUCUUGCAUUCUGAAGGCUCGACCCAGUAAGCUAUCUUUCUUGGAGUUGUCGAUAAGCUUCUAGCUGCGUGGAAGAACCACUUUUUGAUAUCGGGGAUCAGCUCAGAGAAUUAAGUAGGGACCUUAGUUAUUUGAUAAGUAUUCUUUUUGCAUAUAAUGUAUUUGAACAUGUUAUGACCUUGAGCUUUUGUGUAGUUUGUUUAUUGGUGUGGGUGGAACGAAAAUACUCUCUUUUGAGAUGCAUAUACAUAUUAGAGCUUGAUGGGUUGGAUAUA